rnacentral:lncRNA from 10 species
GCAUAUUGCAUAUUCAGGAAACAGAGACAAAUCUUUUUCACUUGAGUCAAGAGGGUUCAGGGCUUGUCAUCUGUUUCUGGGAUAUAGAGAAAUGGAAAAUAGAAGAGUUCUAACCUCAUUCUGUAUUGCAAGGGAAGGAGCUUGUCAUAUAGUCACUUGUGUUGGACCCUUGAAUGGCUCAACUCACUGUCCUCGUACAGUGAUCACUUCAAAGAAGCACGUGUUUCACUGAAUACAACCAGGGGCCCAUCUAUCUCAUGCCUCUAGCUUUUCAUCCUCCUCCCUUGAAAAUUAAGAUAGCAGCCCCAGCUCCAGGUGGAAAGGACAGCUUACUCAUCAAGGGAGUUACAGUGUCUGCAGCCUGUACUGAGUCAGAGUAUCUGAGAGAGAUGGAAUUUGGAGAUAGACACCUAUAUGGGGAGAAUGCCCUGUGAACAUGAAAUCAGCCAUCUACAAGCCAAGGAGGGAAGCUUGGGACAGAGCUGCCAACACUUUGACUUUGAACUUCUAGCCUCUGGAACUGUGAGACAAUACAUUUCUGUUGUCUAAACUACCCAGUUGUUACUUUGUUAAGGCAGCACUCAAAAAUGAAUACAAGUGACUAAGUUACAGAGAGUUAUGAAUAAAAUGAUUUCUCUGCUGCAGGGGCUCCAGAAGCUUGGAUGUGCUCUAUCACCCUCUGAGAGCUGAUGGCAUGUGAAUCUCAUCCCAAAUCUGAGUGCAGAGUGCUUUUUGUUUGGCAUAGAGCAUUUCAUGAGACUGUUGUUCUGUGGUUCUGACUCAGAGAAACAUCGAGUUUAUUUCCCCUAAGGAAGCAGCCAUGCCGUGGGUCUCACAGCUGCAGAAAGUUCAGCUUCAUGGGACUGAGCUACUUUCAGGAAAUAAGGAUGCAGGUGAAAAUUUUUGAUUACAUUUAGUUCAAAUCCAUUACACCUCCUGGGGGCAGAGCAGAACAGCUCCAAGGAAAUAACCUACUGGAAAUGAUCAGGAGUCAUUUUUCUUGAUCCAUGAAUCCUUUGAUUCCUGUUAUUUCACAUCUGUGACUCAGAAGCAGCCAUUUGAAGAGAAAAAAACCAAGAAGUACUAGGUUGUCUCCCUUAGUGGAGUGGUUCAGGAAAUUUAGGAAAAAAAUAUGCAAGCGUGAUUUUAUCAAAUUGAACACACCACUACAGAUUUGCCUUUGGAGCACUCCAUUUAUUCCUACUCAGACCUUGACAAACUGAUCCAUCUGUCUUGAAAUGGAACAUUGGGAGAUAAAUGGACCAUCAUCAUUGUCAGUGGUUAAAAAAGUAAGACUAAAGAUUUAACUUGUAUAUUUCAGUUUCAAACAUGCACACAUAGAGUGAAGGAAAUGUGAACCGGAUGAACACAAGCUUCCUAAACAUUUGCAAAAUCGCGAUACUUCAACUUCUUAUUUAUCUGAUGUGUAUUAUAUUAUUUAAAGCUAAACUUUAAAAAAUUUUAGACUUGCUAUUUGAUCUACGGGUGUGACAAGUAUUUGUGUCUAAAUCUGGUGAAAACUUGGGAUCAUGCAGACAAAACAUUCAUCAAUCCUUGUUUCAUAUUUUUAGGUCACUAUCAAUAAACUCUACCCACCUCUCAUGCUCAUUUCAGUUCUCA